AGAGUUUGAUCCUGGCUCAGAUUGAACGCUGGCGGCAGGCCUAACACUUGCAAGUCGAGCGGAUGAGUGGAGCUUGCUCCAUGAUUCAGCGGCGGACGGGUGAGUAAUGCCUAGGAAUCUGCCUGGUAGUGGGGGACAACGUUUCGAAAGGAACGCUAAUACCGCAUACGUCCUACGGGAGAAAGUGGGGGAUCUUCGGACCUCACGCUAUCAGAUGAGCCUAGGUCGGAUUAGCUAGUUGGUGAGGUAAGGGCUCACCAAGGCGACGAUCCGUAACUGGUCUGAGAGGAUGAUCAGUCACACUGGAACUGAGACACGGUCCAGACUCCUACGGGAGGCAGCAGUGGGGAAUAUUGGACAAUGGGCGAAAGCCUGAUCCAGCCAUGCCGCGUGUGUGAAGAAGGUCUUCGGA
rnacentral:rRNA from 1 species